AUGUAGCAAGUACUAUCAAGAGAUUAAAUGUCUUUUUACAGAUGUAAUGGGGCUUAAAAUGAAGUAAACAAGAAAAUGAUAGAUGGAAUUCAAAACAUGAGAAUAUUUUCAACCUCGAAGACAUAAGGUACACAUUUUUUAUUCUCUUUUUAUAUAUAUAUUUUUUUACUUCUUCUCUUUUUUUAUCAAAGCACAAAAGGAGAAAGAAAUACACACUGAAAAUAUUCUAGUGCUAGCGUAAAU
rnacentral:misc_RNA from 1 species